GAUUCUUCGGAUGAAGACUUUUGUGACUGAGCGGCGGACGGGUGAGUAACGCGUGGGUAACCUGCCUCAUACAGGGGGAUAACAGUUAGAAAUGACUGCUAAUACCGCAUAAGACCACGGUACCGCAUGGUACAGUGGUAAAAACUCCGGUGGUAUGAGAUGGACCCGCGUCUGAUUAGGUAGUUGGUGGGGUAACGGCCUACCAAGCCGACGAUCAGUAGCCGACCUGAGAGGGUGACCGGCCACAUUGGGACUGAGACACGGCCCAGACUCCUACGGGAGGCAGCAGUGGGGAAUAUUGCACAAUGGAGGAAACUCUGAUGCAGCGACGCCGCGUGAAGGAUGAAGUAUUUCGGUAUGUAAACUUCUAUCAGCAGGGAAGAAAAUGACGGUACCUGACUAAGAAGCCCCGGCUAACUACGUGCCAGCAGCCGCGGUAAUACGUAGGGGGCAAGCGUUAUCCGGAUUUACUGGGUGUAAAGGGAGCGUAGACGGCACGGCAAGCCAGAUGUGAAAGCCCGGGGCUCAACCCCGGGACUGCAUUUGGAACUGCUGAGCUAGAGUGUCGGAGAGGCAAGUGGAAUUCCUAGUGUAGCGGUGAAAUGCGUAGAUAUUAGGAGGAACACCAGUGGCGAAGGCGG
rnacentral:rRNA from 1 species